UCACGUCCACGUGAGAUUGCCCGUUCCAC
rnacentral:sRNA from 1 species